GAUACCCACGGGGGGCAGCAGUGGGGAAUAUUGCACAAUGGAGGGAACCCUGAUGCAGCAAUGCCGCGUGAAGGAUGAAGGUUUUCGGAUUGUAGACUUCUUUUGUACGGGACGAAGAAAGUGACGGUACCGUAAGAAUAAGCCCCGGCUAACUACGUGCCAGCAGCCGCGGUAAUACGUAGGGGGCAAGCGUUAUCCGGAUUUACUGGGUGUAAAGGGAGCGUAGACGGCAGGGCAAGUCUGGAGUGAAAGGCAGGGGCCCAACCCCUGGACUGCUCUGGAAACUGUCCGGCUGGAGGGCAGGG
rnacentral:rRNA from 1 species